rnacentral:rRNA from 1 species
UACGGAGGGUGCAAGCGUUAUCCGGAUUCACUGGGUUUAAAGGGUGCGUAGGCGGGUUGGUAAGUCCGUGGUGAAAGCCCCAAGCUUAACUUGGGAAUUGCCGUGGAUACUAUCAAUCUUGAAUAUCGAGGAGGUAAGCGGAAUAUGUCAUGUAGCGGUGAAAUGCUUAGAUAUGACAUGGAACACCAAUUGCGUAGGCAGCUUACUACACGAUCAUUGACGCUGAGGCACGAAAGCGUGGGUAGCGAACAGG